UAGGGAAUCUUCCGCAAUGGGCGAAAGCCUGACGGAGCAACGCCGCGUGAGUGAUGAAGGUCUUCGGAUCGUAAAACUCUGUUAUUAGGGAAGAAUAAAUGUGUAAGUAACUAUGCACGUCUUGACGGUACCUAAUCAGAAAGCCACGGCUAACUACGUGCCAGCAGCCGCGGUAAUACGUAGGUGGCAAGCGUUAUCCGGAAUUAUUGGGCGUAAAGCGCGCGUAGGCGGUUUUUUAAGUCUGAUGUGAAAGCCCACGGCUCAACCGUGGAGGGUCAUUGGAAACUGGAAAACUUGAGUGCAGAAGAGGAAAGUGGAACUCCAUGUGUAGCGGUGAAAUGCGCAGAGAUAUGGAGGAACACCAGUGGCGAAGGCGACUUUCUGGUCUGUAACUGACGCGGAUGUGCGAAAGCGUGGGGAUCAAACAGG
rnacentral:rRNA from 1 species